rnacentral:misc_RNA from 1 species
AACGCAUAUUGCGCCCUUUGGUAUUCUGAAGGGCAUGCCUGUUCGAGCGUCAUUAUCACCGUAUCAAGCUUGGCUUGUAGUUGGGCUCUUUGUCACCUGGUGACAGGCCCGAAAGACAAUGACCGGUGUCAUACAGACCCUGCAUGCAACGAGCUGACAACAGCACGCAUUUAGUGGUUAUAUGGCCUGGUUCCCGCCCCUUUAUUUCUCAAGGUUGACCUCGGAUCAGGUAGGAAUACCCGCUGAACUUAA